rfam:Nicotiana attenuata strain TT chromosome 3, whole genome shotgun sequence.
UGGACAAAUUAUUGUAUUCGACUGUAUUCACGGCGUGAAACAUGGGAUUACACUAUUUUUAAACGUGAAGUGAAUCAAUUAACAUAAUAGACCCCU